CUUUUCUUGUAAAGUAUAAGAAGUAUAACCUGCCCAAUGAGUUUUAAAUGGCCGCGGUAUUUUGACCGUGCAAAGGUAGCAUAAUCAUUAGUCUUUUUAUUGAGGACUGGAAUGAAUGGUUUGACGAGAUAAAAGCUGUCUUUGAAUUAUUAUAUAUAAUUUAAUUUUUAAGUAAAAAGGCUUAAAUUUUUUUAUGGGACGAGAAGACCCUAUAGAGUUUAAUAUUUGUUGAUAUUAAUUUGUGUGUAUAGUUAUAGUGAUAUAAAUGAUUAUUUGGUUGGGGUGAUAAUAAGAUAAACGAAACUCUUUUUAAUUAUUAAUUACAAAUUUGUAUGGUUUUGAUCCAUUAUUAAUGAUUAUAAGACUAAACUACC
rnacentral:rRNA from 1 species